rnacentral:rRNA from 1 species
CGCUGGCGGCGUACCUAACACAUGCAAGUCAACUUGACUGAAGGAGCAAUCUGACAGUAGAGUGGCGCAAGGGUGCGUAACGCGUAAGUAACUUGCCCAAGGUAAGGAAUAACGUCGAGAAAUCGGCGCUAAUACCUCAUAAUGCAGCGGAUCCGCAUGGAUAUGUUGUUAAAGGUUUACCGCCUUGGGAUAGGCUUGCGUCUGAUUAGCUAGUUGGUGUGGUAACGGCACACCAAGGCUACGAUCAGUAACUGGUCUGAGAGGAUGAUCAGUCACACUGGAACUGAGACACGGUCCAGACUCCUACGGGAGGCAGCAGUGAGGAAUAUUGGGCAAUGCUCGAAAGAGUGACCCAGCAACGCCGCGUGGAGGAUGAAGGUAUUCUAUAUCGUAAACUCCUGUGAGAGCAGACGAAAGACAGAUUAUUAAUCUGGAUGACUGUAUGCUCAGAGGAAGCCCCGGCUAACUACGUG